AAAAGAGACACUCCUUUUGACUUGGCCUUGUCAAGGAGUGAUGUUGCCAAAUUAAGCUUAUCUUCCUCAACCAAGGAUGAGCCCACUGAGAGGCCUUGUGCCUUGUAAAAUGUGAAGAUCAUUCCUCCACCCAAAAGCAAGAUAUCACACUUCUCAAGGAGUGAUUCAAUAACUCCAAUCUUGGAUGAGACCUUUGAACCACCUACAAUGGCAGCAAAUGGCCUCUUUGGGUUUGAAACUGCCCCAACAAGGUAGUCCAGCUCCUUCUGCAAGAGGAACCCAGCAACAGAUGGUUUUAAGUAUUUUGUGACUCCUUCAGUUGAGGCAUGUGCUCUAUGUGCAGUCCCAAAUGCAUCAUUGACAUAGAGAUCUGCUAGAGAAGCAAGCUUCUUUGCAAAUUCAGGUUCAUUCUUUUCUUCCUCCUUGUGAAACCUCACAUUUUCAAGGAGAAGAACACCACCUUCAGGAAGUGAAGCCACCAAUUU
rnacentral:misc_RNA from 1 species